rnacentral:rRNA from 1 species
AUACCCUGCCGAAAGGCGGGCUAAUACAGCAUGACCCGCGGUGCUCUUUGGAGCGCUGUGGUAAAGCCGGCCUCUAUUCAUAUGCUGGCGCUUGGGGAUGGGUCCGCGGCCCAUCAGCUAGUUGGCGAGGUAAUGGCUCACCAAGGCGACGACGGGUAGCUGGUCUGAGAGGACGAUCAGCCACACUGGAACUGAGACACGGUCCAG